GUUAUAUAUCAAUAUAAUGAGUUAAUAAAACAUGAAAGAAAUUACAAAUGUUUACAAAAAGUAAAACAUUUUAUUGAUAGAAACAAUAAAGAAUAUGAAUCAAAAAACAUUGUUUUUUCAAAUGGUAUUUAUAAAAAUUAUGUUCAAAAUAAUAAACAAAAAUUAGGUAGGAAUGUUUUAUUAUCAGAUGGUAGUAAAUAUAUUAUUUAUAAAAAAGAAAAAAAUGCAUGGGAAAUUAAUAAAAAAGGUUUUUUUGCUGCUCAAAAUGUUAUUAUUAUAAUUUUACCAGGAGUAGAGUCAUCUCCCACAGCAUUACCAUCCAGUAAUAAUAUAGCUGUCAAUUCAUCUCAAUAUAUGCAUGAUAGUGUUACUGGUAAUAUACAUAAAAAUAAAGAUGAUGUAAAAAAAGAAAAAAAUUAUGACCCAGCUAGCUUAAAAAAUAUAUUGCACAUGGUAAACAAUUAUGAUACUAUUGAAGAACUAAUAAAAUCCACCCAGUUUUGGAAAAUGUUAAAAACUCAUAUUCAUAGUUUAGAUUUAAGCUUAUUUCAAAAGCAUUUAAUUGAAAAAUAUAAUAAAGUUGUAAGUUCGGAAGCAAAAGAAAAAAAAGAAGAAAAAAAAGCAGAAAAAAAAACAGAAAAAAAAGCAGAAAAAAAAACAGAAAAAGAAGCAGAAAAAAAUGUUACAAACUUAGAUAUAAUAAAAUGUAUAAAAGAUAAAACGUUUAUGAACAAAUAUGAAAAUAAAUGUGGUGGAUAUUUAAAAACAUUAAAAAAAAAAUAUGACGAUAAGUUAUUUAUAGAUUUUGAAAAAGAAUGUAAAUAUAUAAAUGACCGUUUGAUUUAUGAAAUGUUUAUUGUUGAAGAUGACUCUAGUGGUUCUAAUGCUAUUGAUAAAAGCGACAGUAAACAUAUAGAUAAAAUAAAUACAACUACUACCACAUGUGAAAACAAUUACAGUUUUAAUAGUACAUACAACUAUAACCAAAGUGUAAAAAAUACGAAAGAUAUAACCUCCUUAACUUUGAUUAAUAAAAAAUUUAUAUAUAUACCCGAAGUGGAUACUACUCAGACUGGUGCAACUUCUACUGAUACUACUACCAUUAACGAUAAUCGUAUAAGCAAUACUAAUGACGUGAACGACGCCAACGGUAUAAACAGCAUAAACAGCAUAAACAGUAUAAACAGCAUAAACAGCAUAAACAACAAAUCUAAUUCAACCUACACAAAUAAAAUGUUUAUCCAGGAAAAUAUUAAUGUUUUAAAAUCCUUUCCUCAAGCUAUACAGAAUUUGAAUUUAGAGACUUUUUAUCAUGAUCGUUUUUUCUACUUCCAUUGUUUACAUACAUUUAUUAAAAGUAAAAAUAAAACAGAAGGGUUGGUAAUAACAAAAUUAAUAACGCUUCUUGACUUACUAAAGUCUUUUAAUGUUGAAGAUUCAAAUAAGAUACUACAAAAGUUGGUUAAAUUAGAAAACGUAAUUCAUAAUAAUAAUAAUAAUAAUAAUAAUAACGCCACAUAUGAUAACAAGAAGAGCGCCAACAACUUUGUUACAACUUACUUUUGUGAUAACAAAUCAGUUACUGUAAAUAAUACUUCUUAUAAUGCUGAGUCUUUAAAAACUUAUAAGGAAAUACAGUCGCUACGAGGACGAAAAAAAGGAAUUGUGGAUGACAUUAAUUUUAUAAGAUACAACUUGUUAACCGUGUCUGGUGGGGCUGAAAACGUGUACAUACUAAACGUGCUUAAUUAACUUUUAUUUGUUAUAGCUAUUGUUACUACUAUUAUUCUGCUAUUUUAUACUAUUAAAAGCAAUGCAUGCUAUUACAAAAAAAAAUGCAUGCAAUUACUAACAAUGCAUGCUAUCAUUUGCAAUUUUUAUUUAAUUUUUCACAAAAAUUGUAUUUUUUUUUUUACGUUUUUUAUGAACAAUUUUUUUUUUAAUAUUAAGAGCUUUUAUACAUUUUCUUUUAUAUUAUGCGUACGAAACAUAGCAAAUUAUAGCAUUUAAAUAUAUUAUCAUAAAAACAAAAAAAAAAAUAAAAAAAUAAAUAAAUAAAUAAAACGAACGAAA
rnacentral:lncRNA from 1 species